rnacentral:rRNA from 1 species
UCCGUUUACGCGUGGAGGAUGAUACAUGGCUUUCCGGGUAACAGGGAUUAGGGUUCGAUUCUGGAGAAGGAGCCUGAGAACGGCUACUACAUCUACCUCAUCGCCCCAGGCGCGUAGAUUACCCAAUCCUGACUCAGGGAGGUGGUGACAAGAUAUAACAACGCUAUUUCAUUGUGAUUGUAGUGAGGGUAUUCCAAACCGAACCACUAGUACGAUUAGAGGGCAAGUCUGGUGCCAGCAGCCGCGGUAAUUCCAGCUCUAAUAGCGUAUAUUAAAGUUGCUGCAGUUAAAAGCUCGUAGAAGGAUACAAGGAUACUCAUUCCUAUGGAAUGUGUACCCUACUAGCCAGUAUUGGCUGUUACUGUGAGAAAAUUAGAGUGUUUAAAGCAGGCUCAUGCAGAUACAUUAGCAUGGAAAACGAACGAGUCAUGAAUCUUGGUUAUUCUUGUACUCGAUUAUUAGAGACAGUUGGGGGCAUUAGAUCUCACUUCGUCUUAUGUGAAAUUCUAAAAAUUUGUAAGACUACGUAUGCGACACCAUCUCCCACCGCAUGUCUUUCAUUAAUCAGGACGAAGAUAGGGGAUCAAAGACAAUCGAUACUGUCGUAGUCUAUCUAUAAACUAUGCCGACUAGGAUUGAUGGCAUUUACAUUUCAGUACUUAUGGAAAUCCAAGUCUUGGGUUCUGGGGGGAGUUGUCCCAGACUGAACUUAAGAAUUGACGAGCACCACGAUGACUGGCUAUGACUCAACGGGA